rnacentral:rRNA from 1 species
AACCAUUUGCAUUUCAUGCUCUCUGUCUGAUAUAUGUUAAUAACAAUUGUUAAAACUUUCAACAACGGAUCUCUUGGUUCUCGCAUCGAUGAAGAACGCAGCGAAAUGCGAUAAGUAGUGUGAAUUGCAGAAUUCAGUGAAUCAUCGAAUCUUUGAACGCACAUUGCGCCUUCUGGUAUUCCGGGAGGCAUGCCUGUUCGAGCG